rnacentral:rRNA from 1 species
CCGUCCCUACGGGACGCAGCAGUAGGGAAUCUUCCACAAUGGACGAAAGUCUGAUGGAGCAACGCCGCGUGAGUGAAGAAGGGUUUCGGCUCGUAAAACUCUGUUGGUAGUGAAGAAAGAUAGAGGUAGUAACUGGCCUUUAUUUGAUGGUAAUUACUUAGAAAGUCACGGCUAACUACGUGCCAGCAGCCGCGGUAAUACGUAGGUGGCAAGCGUUGUCCGGAUUUAUUGGGCGUAAA